rnacentral:rRNA from 1 species
ACUCCUACGGGAGGCAGCAGUGGGGAAUCUUCCGCAAUGGACGAAAGUCUGACGGAGCAACGCCGCGUGAGUGAUGACGGCCUUCGGGUUGUAAAGCUCUGUUAAUCGGGACGAAUGGUUCUUGUGCAAAUAGUGCGAGGAUUUGACGGUACCGGAAUAGAAAGCCACGGCUAACUACGUGCCAGCAGCCGCGGUAAUAC